GGAGAGCUGGCUUCAUGCCACAAAUCCCAGAUUUGUUUUCACCCUUUGGGGCGUCGUAGCCCGGGCUCUGGGAAAAGUGAGAAAGGCAUGGGUGCCGUGAAAGGGGGUUGCCUUCUCGCCACAAACCCCACAUUUGAGUCCUUCCUUUUGGGUCUUCGUGGCCCAGGUGCAAGGAAGAACACUAAAAAUCUGGGUGCCAGCGAAAGGGGUACUGGCUUCACGCCACAAACCCCAGAUUUGAGUCUUCCCAUUUGUCUUCACGGCCCAGGCGCCGGGAAGAACGACAGCGACACCUGUCCCGGUAAAAGGGGGUACUGGCUUCAUGCCACAACCCCAGAUUUGAGUCUUCCCGUUUGGGUUUCCGUAUCCUGGGCACCGGAGAAAAUAAUAAAAAAACGAGAGGGCCGGCCAAAGCGGGGGUAGCGGCCUCACGCCACGCACUCCAGAUCUGAGUCUUCCCGUCGGGGUCUUCGUGGCCUGUGCGAUGGGGAGAAUAAUUUAAAAAUCUGGGAGCCAGCAAAAGGGGGUCUGGCUUCACGCCACGGACUCCAGUUUCGAGUAGUUUCAUUUGGGACUUUUAACGGCCGGGGCACCGGAACGAACGAUAAAAAUAUGCCAGCGAAAGGGAGGUACUGGGUUCGGGCCGAGGACUCCAGAUUCGACUCCAUCAUUGGGUCUUUAUGGCUCAGGUAGCCGGGAGAGAGCGGACUCGACGAGGGAAUGGAACUAAAAGGCAGUGAGGAUUCGAACCCAAGGUGGUGACGCAAGCAAGGAGAGUAACACUCCUCAGAGACAGCGUUGGAUAGAUCAGAAAAGGGAGGAAGGUGACCGAGCGCCCGUCCGCCUCCGGAGAGGUCCGACUGACACAACGGCCCCCCCCUCUCCUGUUUGGUUUGGCUGGGCCUUUAUUUGCAACGUAGAGGAGAAGUAGCCAAUGACAAAAGAACUCGGACAUUGUGUUUUCUUCAAUGACAAAAGAGACUCUUCAAGCAGGCCUUAUCUGUUCUGGGUAAGAAGCGAUCUCCCGUCCUAGCAGGCCCUGUCUGUUUCGGGUAAGAAGCGAUCUCCCGUCCCCCGGAAUUUGGAAUUGGCAGAUGUGAUAUACAUCCCGCCUGAAAUGGGGGACUUCCGGAGACCAACACAGGGUCAUUUAGAUCAAGAGCCGCUAUGCUCAGAAUGCUGUUUUUAACAAGAGAAAUGUGGAUGUAUCUAAAAGGGGGCGUGACUUCAGGCCACGAACCCCCGGUUUGAGUCUUCCCAUUUAGGUCUUCGAGGCCCGGCCACUGGGGAGAACAAUCAAAAUGAAGGGUGGCAAAAGAGGGCGCGGCUCCAUGAAAUGAAGCCCAGAUCCGACUCCCUUUCGGGUCUUCACGGCCCAGGCAUCUGAGAGCUUGGUAAUAACAUGGGUGUCGGCCAAACAGGGGACCGGCCUCAUGCCACGAAUCCCCUAUUCGAGUCUUUCCGGUUGGAUCUUCACGGCCCAGGCACGGAGACCACGGAUCACGUGAGUGCCGGCAAAACAUGGGCCGGCUUCACACCCCGAACCCCGGAUUUAAAUGUUCCCGUUCGGGUCUCCGCGGCCCCGGCGCCGGGAAGAACGGGAGUGACGUGAGUGCUGGCAAAAUGGGGGGCUGACCCCAUGCCACGGAUCCCGCAUUUGAGUGUUCCUAUUUUGGGUCUUCACGGCCCAGGCGUUGAGAAGAAUAGAAAUGACACGUGUGCCAGCCAGAGUGGGGACUGACUUCAGGCCACGAACCCCAGACUUCAGUUUUCCCAUUUGGGCCUUUAUGGGCCAGGCAGCGGCAAAAACAGAGAAAUGGGAGUGCCCGCGAAAGGGGGGGGAUGGCUUCGUUCCCCGAACCCCAGAUUUGAGUCUUCCCAUUUGGGUCUUCACGGCCCGGGCGCCGGGAAGAACGAUAAAAGUAGGGGUACAAGCAAAAGGGGGGUUGCCUUCCUGCCACGAACCCCAGAUGUAACUCUCCCGGUCGGGUCUCCGUGGCCCGAGCAUUGGGCCGAGCAAGAAAUACUCUGGUGCCGGGAAAAUGGGGGACUGGCUUCGGAACCUUGGGAAUUGAUUUUUUCAGUUGCGUUUUUUUGUGCCGGGGCUCUCGGGAGGGUGAAGACGGCUUUGGCUUUGUCACUUUCCCCUCGGUCGGACUCUACCCUUGAGUUUGGGGCUUGGCCCUCUUCGAGGCCCAACAGGUCGAGGAGCUUCCCGCUCAUUCAGAGACGAUCCCCGGGAGAGUCUCCACCUGUAUCGUCCCCGCCGGUCGGCUCUACUAUCUUUGCGGUUGGCCGGAUGGACCGUGUACCUCGGACUCGGAGCCGACGGAACAGAUGCAGGGUUCGACCGUGCCUCCCAGAAUGACCGAGGAGGAACCGACAGAUCUGCGGGAUUCUUCCGGCUGUGGGUCGGGCCCAGAGCGAGCGUCUGUUUUCAGCAGGGGAUUUGGUUUUGAGAGCGCACCCAGACGUCCUCGCAUCCGGGAAGAACGAGACGAAGACACGGGCCUAGAGAGAGAGAGAGAGAGAGAGAGAGAGAGAGACAGAGCUGCCGUGUCCGGCGACGGGGUCGUGCGAUCGUGUCCGCCUCUGUGGCCGGAGGCCAUCUCCGCGGCCCCGUGUCGUAGGGGGGCGACGGAGGUGGCGCGGCGAGGGGGAGCGGGAGGACAGGGUAGGAAGAGGUGGGAUUGUGCGUCUGAACUCCCUGCAGCACUGCCACUCGGUGCCCCCUGACCCUCCCGAGGGAGAGAUGGCAGGGGGGCCGGUGGCAGUCACGGGGAGGGAUGGGCAGGGAGGAGGGCGAUGCUCGGGGACUCUUCCUCCCCACGUGGCCCUCCGCCCCCCCCAUGCCCUUUCCCUCCUUUGACUUCAUCUCCUCUCACUACUCCCUCCCCGGCCCCCAGUGGGAGAUAGAACGGCGA